CAAUUCAGUUAUCAACCCACAAACCAAGCUCGCCAUCCCCCACGCUGACAGUUGAAGAUCAAGAGAUGCUUCGAGACGUGAGCAAGAGAAAAAAGACACCUGGGAUAAGCAAGAGUCAGGAAUUUGAUACUGCAAAAACCAGAUUAAGCAAACACCACAGAUUGAGUAAGAGUAGCAGCCACUCACCAAUGACUGAAGGUAAAAAAGAUCAUUUCCGUUUCCCUUUGAGAAGGCCAUCAUCAGUUCCUGUCAUUGACUUCGACAUAGACCGGAUUAAAGCUUUGGA
rnacentral:lncRNA from 1 species